AAUCGACCAGAAUUCUUUGUAGAAUUCUGCAGGAAAGCCGUCUGGACCUGGAGCCUUAUUAUUGGGCAUACUUAUCAGGGCUUCCUGGAGUUCACCUGGUGUCAGUGGUGAAUCCAGUGCCAUUGCUUGAGUGUCCAAUAAUUUUGGAAGAGUUAUGUUGUCCAAAAACUGAUCAAUUUCUUUUUUAGAUGGGUUUAUUUGUGGUGAAUACAACGUUUUAUAGAAAUCCCUGAAAAUGUUGUUUAUUUGUAUCGGAUCAUAUAUUGUGUUCCCAGAUGAAUCUUGAACAGCACAUAUAGUUGUUUUUUCUUUAUUUAUUUUUAGCUGGUUUGCUAGAAAUUGACCGGAUUUAUUACCAUGUUCAUAAUUUUGUAGGCGUAGUCUUUGUACUAAGAAUUUUGUUUUUUAUCAAUUAUCUCAUUUAAUUCUAGUUUUGUUUUGCGUAUUUUGUUCAAUGUUUCCUGAUCUUGGUGGGACGCGUAGGCUUCUUCUAGUGAUUUGAUGUUUUUUUCUAAUUCCUGAAUAUUUUUGUUUUCUUUUUUCUUUUUGUGUGAUGAGAAAGAAAUUAUUUUACCUCUCAUCACAGCUUUCCCUGCUUCCCAUAGAACAGAAGCUGAUGUUUCGGGAGUGUCAUUAUAGUCCAAAUAUGAAGUCCACUCUUUUUUAAAAUAUUUAAUAAAGUCUUCAUCUUUAAGUAGUGAUAUAUUAAAUCUCCAGUUUUUUCUUGGCGUAGUAUUAUUCUUGUGCAUUAGUGUUAAAGAUACAGGACCAUGAUCGCUGACAGCUAUAGGAUGAAUCUCAGUGUCUGAAAUGUCGUUCAGCAGUGAGCUGCUGACCAGAAAAUAAUCCAGACGAGAGUAGGAGUGAUGGACAUGUGAGAAAAAAGUAUAUUCCUUACUGGUGGGGUGAAGGGAGCGCCAUGCAUCGCAAAGACCAAAGUCGCUCAUAUACUGUUUGAUUAUAUUUGUGGACUGCCAAUUACGCUCAGUUCCUGCUGAACUGUAGGGGAGAGCGGGGUAAGUUGUCACACUGUUCAUAACUCCAACACUAGAGGCUCUAUCUCAAAAAUGAAAUAGCCACUUUGUGUGACUUCUUCUUCUAUAGUCAACCUCCUGUUCACAUGUGGUCAAGACUGCUCUAAUCUGAGGUUUUUGAAGAAAGGAAGGAGAGGCAGGAAUUAAGGAAGGAAGGAAGAAAGUAAGAUGGUUCGAAAUUAUCAACGAAAGACAGAGCGUGGCAGAACACCACCUGACAUUAUGUUAAAGGCAGUCAGGCAGGUAAAGAUGCAGAACAAAUCAAUCACAAGUACAGCAAAGGAUUUUGACAUAAAUUACCGCACUGCAAUUACUGACAGCGGACUACCAACUCCAGAGGACAUCCGGCCAUAUCCAAAAGCUGGCCGCCGAAAACCAUCCAGCAAAGGAAGAAAACGACGCAAAUCAGCAAUUCUAACCGACACGCCAGUGAAGCAGCAACUAGAAAAAGAAAAGAAUAAGGCUGAAUCUAGCAAAAAGCUGUUUCAAAAGAGAGGGACGCGAGGGGGGAAAACAUCUGGACCUAUGAAGAACAACGCAGCUAAAAGAAGAAAAAUAAUUCAAGAGUCAUCAUCAGAUGAUGAAGAGUGCUUCUGCCUUGUCUGUGUGGAGCCAUUUUCAAACAGUUGUCCAAAAGAGACCUGGG
ensembl:lncRNA